AGUGAACGUUGGCGGCGUGGAUUAGGCAUGCGAGUCGAGCGAGAACCGUAGCAAUACGGGGACAGCGGCGAAAGGGACAGUAAUAUGUAGGUACCUACCCUCGGGUCCGGGAUAGCUGCGGGAAACUGCAGGUAAUACCGGAUGACAUCUCCGGAUCAAAGGUGUGAUUCCGCCCGGGGAGGGGCCUGCAUCCUAUUAGCUUGUUGGCGGGGUAACGGCCCACCAAGGGGACGAUGGGUAGCGGGUGUGAGAGCACGACCCGCGUCAUUGGGACUGAGACACUGCCCAGACACCUCCGGGUGGCUGCAGUCGAGAAUCUUCGGCAAUGGGGGAAACCCUGACCGGGCGACGCCGCGUGCGGGAUGAAGGCCUUCGGGCUGUAAACCGCUGUCGUAGAGGGGGAAAUGCAGGGGGGUUCUCCCCUCUGUUUGACUUAUUCUAGGAGGAAGGACGGGCUAAGUUCGUGCCAGCCGCCGCGGUAAGAC
rnacentral:rRNA from 1 species